UACGAAGGGGGCUAGCGUUGCUCGGAAUCACUGGGCGUAAAGGGCGCGUAGGCGGCCAUUCAAGUCAGGGGUGAAAGCCUGUGGCUCAACCACAGAAUUGCCUUUGAUACUGUUUGGCUAGAGACCGGAAGAGGUAAGUGGAACUGUCGAGUGUAGAGGUGAAAUGCGUAGAUAUUGGGAGGAACACCAGUGGCGAAGGCGGUCCCCUGGGCCGGAACUGACGCUGAGGCGCGAAAGCGUGGGUAGCAAACGGG
rnacentral:rRNA from 1 species